ACUUGCUAAAAUUUUAAUUGUUGUAUUUACUACGCGAUCGGGAGUAUCGUGCAAAGUGUCUCACAAUUAUUACGUAUACUAAUCUUAAUUAACUAAUCUUAAUUAAUCUUGUUUUCGGAAGUGAAUAUGAAUGCAACGAAGAAAUAGCAAAGGAGAGAAAAAGCAAGUCUGAAAAAGCACUGGCAACAUAUUGAGCAACAAUAUCCGAUCGACACAACAACCUAGAUGAUCUGAAAGGAGGAGCAAGCCUAGCCUGACAACCUGAUGACAUCGUAGCUUCAAUAUCAACUCCGCUGUUGCGCAUCAGUGCUGCUAAGUGACAACCUUUUAUUUUGAAGCAAAGGAUUUGUAAAUGCAUGAAAAAAUCCGUUGCUUCUAACUCUCGAUUGGCCGGACAAUACUCGUAAAAAUUAAAA